rnacentral:rRNA from 1 species
AGUGAACGCUGGCGGCGUGCCUAAUACAUGCAAGUCGAACGGAGCGGCGCACGGGUGAGUAAUAUAUAGCUAAUCUGCCCCUUGCUGGAGGACAACAGUUAGAAAUGACUGAUAAUACUCCAUAGCAUGGGAUGAGACUAUAUCGUAUAAGCUAGUCGGUGGGGUAAUGGCCUACCGAGGCGAUGACGCGUAACUGGUCUGGGAGGAUGAUCAGUCAAAUUGGAACGGAGACACGGUCCAAACUCCUACGAGAGGCGGCAGUAGGGAAUAUUGCGCAAGGGGGGAAACCCUGACGCGGCAACGCCUCGUGGAGGAUGACACGUUUCGGAGCGUAAACUCCUGUUGUUAGGGAAGCGGUACCUAACGAAUAAGCACCGGCUAACUCCGUGCCAGCAGCCGCGGUAAUUC